GAUGAACGCUGGCGGCGUGCCUAAUACAUGCAAGUCGAGCGAACAGACGAGGAGCUUGCUCCUCUGACGUUAGCGGCGGACGGGUGAGUAACACGUGGAUAACCUACCUAUAAGACUGGGAUAACUUCGGGAAACCGGAGCUAAUACCGGAUAAUAUAUUGAACCGCAUGGUUCAAUAGUGAAAGACGGUUUUGCUGUCACUUAUAGAUGGAUCCGCGCCGCAUUAGCUAGUUGGUAAGGUAACGGCUUACCAAGGCAACGAUGCGUAGCCGACCUGAGAGGGUGAUCGGCCACACUGGAACUGAGACACGGUCCAGACUCCUACGGGAGGCAGCAGUAGGGAAUCUUCCGCAAUGGGCGAAAGCCUUACGGAUCAACGCCGCGUGAGUGAUGAAGGUCUUCGGAUCGUAAAACUCUGUUAUUAGGGAAGAACAAAUGUGUAAGUAACUAUGCACGUCUUGACGGUACCUAAUCAGAAAGCCACGGCUAACUACGUG
rnacentral:rRNA from 1 species